rnacentral:rRNA from 1 species
GUGAGGAAUAUUGGUCAAUGGGCGGAAGCCUGAACCAGCCAAGUCGCGUGAAGGAAGAAGGAUCUAUGGUUUGUAAACUUCUUUUGAAGGGGGAUAAAGUGGGUUACGUGUAACCCAUUGCAGGUACCCUUGGAAUAAGCAUCGGCUAACUCCGUGCCAGCAGCCGCGGUAAUACGGAGGAUGCGAGCGUUAUCCGGAUUUAUUGGGUUUAAAGGGUGCGUAGGUGGCUUUUUAAGUCAGCGGUGAAAACUGGCGGCUCAACCGCAAGAGUGCCGUUGAAACUGGGGAGCUAGAGUAUGAACGAGGUAGGCGGAAUGUGUGGUGUAGCGGUGAAAUGCAUAGAUAUCACGCAGAACUCCGAUAGCGAAGGCAGCUUACCAGGCCAUAACAGACACUGAAGCACGAAAGCGUGGGGAUCGAACAGGAUUAGAUACCCGUGUAGUCC